ACGAACGCUGGCGGCAUGCCUAACACAUGCAAGUCGAGCGCCUGUAGCAAUACAGGAGCGGCGCACGGGUGAGUAACGCGUGGGAACCUGCCCUUAGGUUCGGAACAACCGCGGGAAACUGCGGCUGAUACCGGAUGAUGUCUUCGGACCAAAGAUUUAUCGCCUUUGGAGGGGCCCGCGUCGGAUUAGGUAGUUGGUGAGGUAACGGCUCACCAAGCCUGCGAUCCGUAGCUGGUCUGAGAGGAUGACCAGCCACACUGGGACUGAGACACGGCCCAGACUCCUACGGGAGGCAGCAGUGGGGAAUCUUGCGCAAUGGGCGAAAGCCUGACGCAGCCAUGCCGCGUGAGUGAUGAAGGUCUUAGGAUUGUAAAGCUCUUUCGCUCGCGACGAUGAUGACGGUAGCGAGAGAAGAAGCCCCGGCUAACUUCGU
rnacentral:rRNA from 1 species